UACGUAGGGUGCGAGCGUUGUCCGGAAUUACUGGGCGUAAAGAGCUCGUAGGUGGUUUGUCGCGUUGUUCGUGAAAACCGGAGGCUCAACCUCUGGCGUGCGGGCGAUACGGGCAGACUUGAGUACUGCAGGGGAGACUGGAAUUCCUGGUGUAGCGGUGGAAUGCGCAGAUAUCAGGAGGAACACCGGUGGCGAAGGCGG
rnacentral:rRNA from 1 species